ensembl:lncRNA
CCGAGGAGCCUCGGUAGCCGCGACCGGGGGCCUGGCCUCGCAGGGGAGGCGAAGUGGACUUGACUCAACUGCUCCAGGAGGAGGAGGAGUGCUGGACAAGUGGCUGAGGCAGUGUCACAGGCUCCCAUUCAGCAGGCACUACCGGGCUCUGCGGAUGGGAAACACCAGAUGGGCCUGGAAACUGAAAAGAGGCGGGGACCUUGCCCAAGCACCAGUCACCACUGCCCCAGCAGCUACAGCGCACCCGGAUGGAGAGGCACAGACGGCUUCCUCUUCCGAGGCCUCCGGGAGCGCAGCCCUCAGGAGGGGUGGCCAUGGCCCUAUCCCCAGCACCCCAACCGGCUCCUGCUGCCUGGCUUCUCCCCUCCUCUCUCCAUCACUGGCUCCACUCAGCUCUUAUCUGCUCGGGGUUGGCAGGAGAAGCAGGCUGAUGUGGUUUGGCCUGCAGAGACCAGGUCGGAGUCCAGAGGGCCUGGCGUGACUCCAAACAGACUCAGCAGCCCGUUAGGUCCCAACCGUCAAGGCUAACCCCGGACUUGAGAGGCCCUGAUGCCCCUGUGUGCCGCCCACCUACCGCUCUCCCUCUGUCCUCAGGGGACACAGCCCCAGGCCCAGGGGACCCCUGAAACUGCAGACACCCCCAAGCCCUCUAGGUAUGGUUCUCCUGGAGAUUCGCACCCAUGACGGGGUUUAAUUUACAAAUUAGGCAUAGUGAGAGGUUAACGACAAUAACAACCAAAUAGACUGACUUUAACAACAUUGUAAUAAAAGUUG